rnacentral:rRNA from 1 species
AGUGAACGCUGGCGGUAGGCCUAACACAUGCAAGUCGAACGGCAGCACAGUAAGAGCUUGCUCUUACGGGUGGCGAGUGGCGGACGGGUGAGGAAUACAUCGGAAUCUACUUUUUCGUGGGGGAUAACGUAGGGAGACUUACGCUAAUACCGCAUACGACCUACGGGUGAAAGCAGGGGAUCUUCGGACCUUGCGCGAUUGAAUGAGCCGAUGUCGGAUUAGCUAGUUGGCGGGGUAAAGGCCCACCAAGGCGACGAUCCGUAGCUGGUCUGAGAGGAUGAUCAGCCACACUGGAACUGAGACACGGUCCAGACUCCUACGGGAGGCAGCAGUGGGGAAUAUUGGACAAUGGGCGCAAGCCUGAUCCAGCCAUGCCGCGUGGGUGAAGAAGGCCUUCGGGUUGUAAAGCCCUUUUGUUGGGAAAGAAAAGCAGCAGGUUAAUACCCCGCUGUUCUGACGGUACCCAAAGAAUAAGCACCGGCUAACUUCGUG